UACGGAGGGUGCGAGCGUUGUCCGGAAUCACUGGGCGUAAAGGGCGCGUAGGCGGCGCGACAAGUCAAUGGUGAAAGCCCGAGGCUCAACUUCGGGUCGGCCACUGAUACUGUUGGGCUUGAGCACUGUAGAGGCAGGUGGAAUUCCGGGUGUAGCGGUGGAAUGCGUAGAGAUCCGGAAGAACACCAGUGGCGAAGGCGGCUCACUGGCCCGAUACUGACGCUGAGGCACGAAAGCGUGGGGAGCAAACAGGG
rnacentral:rRNA from 1 species